rnacentral:rRNA from 1 species
UAGGGAAUAUUGCAAGAUGGGCGAAAGCCCGAUGCAGCAACGCCGCGUGGGCGAUGAAGGCCUUCGGGUCGUAAAGCCCUUUUUGAGGGGAUGAGGAAGGACAGUACCCUCAGAAUAAGCCUCGGCUAACUACGUGCCAGCAGCCGCGGUAAAACGUAGGAGGCGAGCGUUAUCCGGAUUUACUGGGCGUAAAGCGCGUGCAGGCGGAUUGGAGAGUUGGAUGUGAAAGCUCCCGGCUUAACUGGGAGAGGUCGUUCAAUACUUCCAGUCUUGAGUGCAGUAGAGGGAAGUGGAAUUCCGGGUGUAGUGGUGAAAUGCGUAGAUAUCCGGAGGAACACCAGUGGCGAAAGCGGCUUCCUGGACUGUAACUGACGCUCAGACGCGAAAGCUAGGGUAGCAAACG